rnacentral:rRNA from 1 species
CCGGUGACGUAUCCUUCAAAUGUCUGACUUAUCAGCUGUCGAUGGUAGACUCUGUGUCUACCAUGGCGCUCACGGGUGACGGGGAAUCAGGGUUCGAUUCCGGAGAGGGAGCCUGAGAAACGGCUACCACAUCCAAGGAAGGCAGCAGGCACGCAAAUUACCCACUCCCGGCACGGGGAGGUAGUGACAAAAAAUAACGAUACGGGACUCAUCCGAGGCCCCGUAAUCGGAAUGAGAACACUCUAAAUCCUUUAACGAUGAUCCAUUGGAGGGAAAGUCUGGUGCCAGCAGCCGCGGUAAAUCCAGCUCCAAUAGCGUAUAUUAAAGUUGUUGCGGUUAAAAAGCUCGUAGUUGGUUCUGCGUGCCGCGCUGUCGGUUCGCCGCCUGUCGGUGCAACUGGCAUGCCGCGGCAUGUCCUGUCGGUGGCGGAUAGGCUUCGGACCGCCGCCCGUUGCGGCCAGCGCCAAAGCGGAGCGGUCGGCUUCGUCGUCCUUGUACGCCGGCUCAAUCCUACCGCGGUGCUCUUUACCGAGUGUCGAGGUGGGCCGACACUGUUUACUUUGAACAAAUUAGAGUGCUUCAUGCAGGCUCAAUAUACAGCCUGAAUAGUGGUGCAUGGAAUAAUGGAAAAGGACCUUGGUUCUAUUUUGUUGGUUUCCGGAAUCCAAGGUAAUGAUCAAUAAGGACAGGCGGGGGCAUUCGUAUUGCGACGUUAGAGGUGAAAUUCUUGGAUCGUCGCAAGACGCACUAAAGCGAAAGCAUUUGCCAAGUAUGUCUUAAUUGAUC